CACAAGGAAGCCACACACCUACCUGGAAGGAGUCCCUGGCUAGUUCCCUGGGUACCUGCCCUGCUGGCCUUAGACCCUGCCACUUUCUGCCUAAGAAGUCUGCCCUCCCCCUCCGAAUGCUGCAGUUCAUUUGCUCAGAGAACUGUGACUUGAGCUGUGGAUACAGGAGUUGGGGCCCCACAGUGGCACUUUUGUGCCUCUCUGGGUCAAAAUUGGACAACUCCAGCUUUCAACACACCCUUCAUUGCCUUGUUGGCGAUCAUCAAAUGGACCCAGUAGGUGUUUCUGUCUUGUACCUGGCAUGAUAGUCAGCCUUGGUUAUAGAGGAUCAGGAGGAUGGAUUGUCCUUUCCAGUGUGAAGAAGCUUCCCUUUCUUGUCAUCUUCACCCUCCAGCUACACAAUGGGCAGUGGCAAAGCUGUGAAGCCAGCCUUGUGAACGGGACCCCACUCAUCUAUUCCUUCCUUACAUGAGGCCUCACAACCCUGAGG